AUACAUCCCAGCAUAUUGCCCAAUACAACACACCUGUUUACCCAACAGAAGGAUGCAAUGUCACAAUAUUGAUCUGAAUUAAUUUCUCAACACCAACGACGUCAGAGUGGCGUUCACUAUUUAAGACGGAGGCUCCAGCCCAAGCUUCAUCAAACUCAUCCAGCUGUGGACUCGAUCAACUGCUGGAGCAAUACACAACUGAACAGUAAUCAAGUGAAAUCAUGAUGAAGAUACUGGUACUGCUUGGAUGUCUCCUGAGUCUGGCUCUGGCUCUUCCAGGGGAUGAAGUCCAUGAGAGAAUGGCUCGUUCCUUCCAUUUCAGAAGGCACCACCGCUACCCAUCGUAUCACAGGUACCCACCACCACCGCCACAGAACCGGCCCGACCUAUGCCCCCUGCUCCUGACCUACCUGAAGGCUAUCUUUCCGACCGCCGGCCCCGCCACGACCGCCGGCCCCGCCACGACCG